rnacentral:tmRNA from 1 species
GGGGAUGUUCCGGUUUCGACAGGCAGGAACGACUUCUGAGGGCAGUGGGAUGGUCUCCUUAUCGACCGACACAACUACAAGUGCCAAUAAACCUGUUAUGUUCCGUGCUCCGGCCACUAUGAUGGCCUGCGCUGCUUAAUCUCAUUAAGUAAGCUUUUUUCAUUUUUUAGGGCGUAUCGCCCAUGCACGACCCUGACAUCAUCUAUCUAACUCAUGCUGUCAGGGACUUAGAGUUAGAUUCAUGAAGAAGCUUCCUUUCCUUCUUCAUGUGAUACAAGGAAGGAUCGGAGAGAGAAAGAUUGCUCGUGUUCUUCUCUCUUCUAACUCAAACAUGAGAUAAACUGUAGGCCUCGUUAGAGAUUCUUGUUUGGACGCGGGUUCGACUCCCGUCAUCUCCACCA